GCCGAGUGGUGAAGGCGUAGCAUGA
rnacentral:tRNA from 1 species